rnacentral:rRNA from 1 species
AGUGAACGCUGGCGGUAGGCCUAACACAUGCAAGUCGAACGGCAGCACAGUAAGAGCUUGCUCUUACGGGUGGCGAGUGGCGGACGGGUGAGGAAUACAUCGGAAUCUACUUUUUCGUGGGUGAUAACGUAGGGAAACUUACGCUAAUACCGCAUACGACCUACGGGUGAAAGCAGGGGAUCUUCGGACCUUGCGCGAUUGAAUGAGCCGAUGUCGGAUUAGCUAGUUGGCGGGGUAAAGGCCCACCAAGGCGACGAUCCGUAGCUGGUCUGAGAGGAUGAUCAGGCACACUGGAAGUGAGACACGGUCCAGACUCCUACGGGAGGCAGCAGUGGGGAAUAUUGGACAAUGGGGGGAAGCCUGAUCCAGCAAUACCGCGUGGGUGAAGAAGGCCUUCGGGUUGUAAAGCCCUUUUGUUGGGAAAGAAAAGCAGCAGGAUAAUACCAGGCUGUUGUGACGGUACCAAAAGAAUAAGCACCGGCUAACUUCGUG